rnacentral:other from 1 species
GAAGUCCUGAAGUGUACGUGUUUCCUCGCCUUGUUUUGACCGAACAAUAGUGUGAUCGGGAGCGAUUGUUUUUCGGAUGCCUUCAUGCCUCGUAAGCUGAGGAAGGAGAAGAUUUCGGAAACUGCGCACCCACCUGUGAAGAGCGGGUUCAAAACACUUGAGGAGACGGCACCAUUGGGGUUUCU